CAGUCAAGUUUGGUAUCAACAGGAACCCUGGGACAAACAAACCCGAGAGAAUUGCUCCUGUGUCCCGGAGCCUGAGCAGGGAUCUGGUUUCACAGGGGUUGAUACCCUUUCAUCCCAUGCCACAAGUUUGCAGCGAGGUCCCUGAGAUCCACUCACUGAAUUUAUGCCUGGAGAUUAUGACAGGCCACACUGGAAAUAUCACAGAUUCCUCCCUUAAAUACCAAAUCAUUAGCCCAUCACUGCUGGUGUCUAGCAAUUUAUGGCCCUAGGAGCACCUGGAAAAAGACAGGCUAGGCUAUGGACUGAGGCAGCACCCUUAGGGAGGCUAUCAUGGGCAUCCCGGAGCAGGUUCAGACAGCCCUGUACAAGCUGGCACUUAGUGUUAUAUAUGCCCCCUUUUUAAUAGGCUCCACCGUCCCUUUCCAGGAGGCCAUCUUGCUCAAAGUCACUCCAACCCAAUACUGUUUAGCACAAUGCCUGGAUAGUAUUUCUGCAUCUUUUGCUGUUGGUCUCCUCCAUCAGUGGCCAGGCUCGUGAGGGUGGGUCCUCAGCUGUUUUAUUUCCUGUUACCCCUGUCUCAGGACAGCCGUCAGUCUUCACCGAGUGAGUUAGCCUGUGGUUUAUGAAGACACCAACUGGGCACUGUCAACACUCGUGUGAUUCAAGGAUCAAGUAGACCAACUCCAGGCUCAUGAUCCACGCCAUGUCACCGGCUGUGAGACAGCUUUAUUUUAAAGAAAAUUGAGCAGAUGUGCAGUGGUCCUCCCAACCAGUUGCUGCCCAUCCAACUGAGAUCCUAUGUUGUUCCACCAACUUCUCCCAUGCCCCACCUACUACCAGCCCAGUUCAUUGGCUACCUCUGCUCUCGGCAUCUUUGAAUUCAGCUCAGAGAAGAUUUAGGUCUCUCCUGCACUGCAUGGGUCUGAAAGGCUGGAACAGAUCCCCGGCAGGCCCACGUACCUUGAUGACCUCCUCAUCCAUGGCCUUGCACUCCACCAGCUCUGAGAUGUCCCUCACGGUGCUGUUCUCCUCCACCGACACCACCCUGACAGGCAUGGCCACCGUCUUCCCCGUGAGGAUGGCUGUGUUCAGGAGUUCGGUGUCCUGCCAAAGAACCAGACACACCAAGUCAAGGGACAGUCUCCGUCCCGUUGGUACUAGGUGCUGCUUAAGCAUGUUCGUGAGUAUCGCAGAGACCCAGUAGAAGUGUACAGCAGCUGGCUGGCAAGUAACAGAAACCAAUUUUGAGUAUUCUGGGAAGAAAGGUACCAAAUUGGGUUGACUAAUGCCUGUCUCUACCUGCAAAAGAUGCUCAGAGCCUGGGAGCAUGUCCUCUCAAAUGGUAUGAUGGCUAAUCUCGUUUAUCAACUCGACAGCCUGGGAAGAGAGGAAACCUCAACUGAAAACCUGCUUCCGUCAAAUCUGCCUGUGGGGUAUUUUCUUGAUUGAUGACUGAUGUGGGAGGGGCCUAGCCCACUGCGGACGGUGCCACCACUGGGCAGAUGCUCUCAAGGUGUUUAAGAGAGUGGGCUGAGCGGGUCAGGAAGAACAAGCCAGUAAGUAGCACUCCUCCAAGGAGUGCUGAAGACAGGAAAGGCAAAGGGAGACAAUUUCUAGGAGGGGCAUGGCCCUGAUGCUAGCUAGCUUUCCCCUCGGGUUGCAAACCUCUACCCUUCAGAAAGGAGAUAGGGUGAGUCCUCCCUCAUGUCUUAGAAUGCCGAGUAGCUGGGGCUGCCAGUGGUGAUUUACUCACUGAGGGGCUUCCUUUGUCUGUGGUUGCCCUUUGCUGUGUUGGGCAUGAGACCGGGAGCCUCCUACAAGCUAGGCAAGUGCUUUACGACUGAGCCACAUCCCCUAGCCCAAAGUUUCCUCUUUGAAGUGGUUUUUUGGUUAUUUGUUUAUUUUGUUUUGCAAAUCGAACUGUCCCUCUCUGCUGUCCCUUGGGAGGCAGCUCCACCACACCCACAGGCACAGUUGCUCAGUCUCUUUGUGUCAAUGUUCUGUAAAAUCGCAUGCAGACUCCAUUGAGUGACAGAGGAGAACACACUGUUCUUUUGAGUCUGCAGGGUGAUUACCACCUGCAUGCAGUCCUCUCGAUGGCCGGCACAAAGAUGCAACCAGACCUUUGAGUCUAGGGCUCCACAGGCACCUUUCACCUAGGGCUCAAUUUCUCCCAAGUCCCUCUCCACAAACCCUGCUUUUCUUCAGGGUGACCUUUUGCCUGAAGCAGACACACAUCACAGAAAGGGUCCUGGUAAAA